AGAAAUGGACUGGAACACGUAAACCAGGGUUUUUCCAUUAUCACAUUUCUGAAGUGAAUGUAAACGCGUCGCAUCUGAUUACAGCAAUUAUCAGAUUACUCCCAGUUAUCAGAUUUUUAUGGUCAUGUAAACGGACUGAGUAAAAUGUCUUGUUUGGUUG